UGUCCAGCAACUCCUGUCCCUACCUCCACGUGGUACCGGCAGGAAGCUACGAGCAACCAUAGGGAAGAUCGGAUAAAUCAAUCCCAGUGGGAACUUUGGCUGACAGAGAAGG
rfam:Aedes albopictus isolate Foshan contig75043, whole genome shotgun sequence.